AGCCCCCUGCUUUGCACGUGACUGAUUUAACUUGUACCUCGUAAAAAAUUUAAACGGGAGCUGAGUCGGGGAAAGGGUGUGCAUGCCCAGGCAAAACUGGGUAGCCUAAAUUUCUCCCACGGCACCCACCUGGUAACCGCCAGGUCCAAGUCAUCAGCACGGCAAAAGCAGGGGUUUU
rnacentral:other from 1 species